rnacentral:lncRNA from 1 species
AAGGGCGACGCAACGGAAUUGCGCGUUCCUAUGGAAACCAGAGGCGGGCUGGUAGCGGUGGAACGUACAGGAACUAAUCAAAUAUGUCCUGUGAAGCUGUGUGGAUCAAGGACAUCUCUCCACUUUUUCAGAAAAUAAAGGACAGUGAUGAAUUACAUGGAAGAUAAUUUGACAGUCUUUUUCUGCUAAAGGUCCCAAGAUAUUCCUGAAGAGUCUCCUGGCCACACUGCCAAACACAUCAUGUGCCUGUGCCUCAGAACCUCAGCUUUCACCUUACCUGGUAUAUUCUCCUUCCCUUAUCUGUGUUUUGAGUUUUCCCCUGUCUUUGAGGCCCAACUAACU